rnacentral:rRNA from 1 species
ACAGAGGUGGCAAGCGUUGUUCGGAAUUACUGGGCGUAAAGGGCGCGUAGGCGGCCCGUCAAGUCCCGUGUGAAAGCCCCCGGCUCAACCGGGGAACGGCGCGGGAAACUAGCAGGCUUGAGUUCGGGAGAGGGAAGCGGAAUUCCGGGUGUAGCGGUGAAAUGCGCAGAUAUCCGGAGGAACACCGGUGGCGAAGGCGGCUUCCUGGACCGACACUGACGCUGAGGCGCGAAAGCUAGGGGAGCAAACGGGAUUAGAUACCCCGGUAGUCCUAGCCCUAAACGAUGAGCACUGGGUGUAGAGGGUAUGAACCCCUUCUGUGCCGAAGCUAACGCAUUAAGUGCUCCGCCUGGGGAGUACGGUCGCAAGGCUG